ACUACCACAGCACAAGGUGUUCCUGGGGUCAUUGCCAGCAAAGAAGAAAGCAGAGAGAAGCAACAGAUAUUUAGUGGACCAUAAUACAAGAGAAUCCCCAAAUAGCCCCCAGGAAUCCCCUGGAUGUUUGGUGUUUGAACUUGAGAGCAGCAGCUGAACAGGGAGGCGUUUACCUGACCCAACAGAGCUGAAGGAAACCUGUAGCUCUGAUUAGAAUGAACUUAGAUUAUACAGAAGGCCUGCCCUACAAUUAUACAUGUGCCGACAUUAAAACUCAGAGAAGCAGCAGCCCAUGGUACAAGGACUAAGUGGAAGCUUAAUAUAAUAUAAUAUAUUGGAAACCAUAUGGUGCAUGGGCAGGCAGCCCCUUGCCGUGGAUACUACGUUGUUCUCACCACAUUAAUGUACACACUGAAGACCAACCAAGGGAGUUGCUGUUGUUGUGACCUGUUACAACUCCAAAGGAAAAUAAAAAGCAGCACCAUUCCACCACAUUUACCCAGAUGGCUGUGAGGAUGGAAGCAUAAGACCAUCACAACCCUCGCCACCCCAAGAAGAAGAUUGUCUGCUUCUUCUCCAGAGCUCAGCGGCCACCGCAUCUUUAUGCAAAAGGGUAAAUGUCAUCAUAAAGAGGAACGAGCAAGAUGUGAACACCAGGUGGACAGAAUGUUCACUGUGGGCUUAUCAGCCCUAAGAGCCGCAGAUAACUGGAGGUGAAGGGGAAACCAAACCGAGUGGUAUGCAAAGUGGGAGGGAAGCAAGGUGGAAUGAAGCCUUUGACCUUGGAAGAGCUGAGUACUAGAGGAGGAGGGGGAGGGCGAGGGAGAAUGGAAUGAGGAAUUCCUUGCUGUAAUAUAUUCGGGUAAAAAUGGGGCUGUCAUCUUGAGCUACAAGUUAGAAAGUUAUUACUUUUAAUAUGCCACUACCUUAGGCCUAUACUGUUAUGUAAAAGAAAAAUAACCUUGUGUGACAGUUUAACAUUGAUCGAUGUGCCUGCCAAAUGCAAAGAGAUAAAUAAGCAGGUGAUGAAUAAACAGCACUUCAAGUAAA